UACGUAGGUGGCAAGCGUUGUCCGGAAUUAUUGGGCGUAAAGAGCGCGUAGGCGGUCCGAUAAGUCGGCUGUGAAAGUCAAGGGCUCAACCCUUGAAAGCCGGCCGAUACUGUCGGACUAGAGUCCGGAAGAGGCGAGUGGAAUUCCCGGUGUAGCGGUGGAAUGCGCAGAUAUCAGGAGGAACACCAAUAGCGAAGGCAGCUCGCUGGGACGGUACUGACGCUAAGGCGCGAAAGCGUGGGGAGCGAACAGG
rnacentral:rRNA from 1 species